rnacentral:rRNA from 1 species
CAGCCGCCGCGGGAAUACGAAGGGGGCUGGCGUUGUUCGGAAUUACUGGGCGUAAAGCGCACGUAGGCGGAUAUUUAAGUCAGGGGUGAAAUCCCGCAGCUCAACUGCGGAACUGCCUUUGAUACUGGGUAUCUUGAGUAUGGAAGAGGUUAGUGGAAUUGCGAGUGUAGAGGUGAAAUUCGUAGAUAUUCGCAGGAACACCAGUGGCGAAGGCGGCUAACUGGUCCAUAACUGACGCUGAGGUGCGAAAGCGUGGGGAGCAAACAGGAUUAGAUACCCGCGUAGUCCCUGUCUCUUAUAC